GGCGUGCCUAAUACAUGCAAGUCGAGCGAAUGGAUUAAGAGCUUGCUCUUAUGAAGUUAGCGGCGGACGGGUGAGUAACACGUGGGUAACCUGCCCAUAAGACUGGGAUAACUCCGGGAAACCGGGGCUAAUACCGGAUAACAUUUUGAACUGCAUGGUUCGAAAUUGAAAGGCGGCNUUCGGCUGUCACUUAUGGAUGGACCCGCGUCGCAUUAGCUAGUUGGUGAGGUAACGGCUCACCAAGGCAACGAUGCNGUAGCCGACCUGAGAGGGUGAUCGGCCACACUGGGACUGAGACACGGCCCAGACUCCUACGGGAGGCAGCAGUAGGGAAUCUUCCGCAAUGGACGAAAGUCUGACGGAGCAACGCCGCGUGAGUGAUGAAGGCUUUCGGGUCGUAAAACUCUGUUGUUAGGGAAGAACAAGUGCUAGUUGAAUAAGCUGGCACCUUGACGGUACCUAACCAGAAAGCCACGGCUAACUACGUGCCAGCAGCCGCGGUAAUACGUAGGUGGCAAGCGUUAUCCGGAAUUAUUGGGCGUAAAGCGCGCGCAGGUGGUUUCUUAAGUCUGAUGUGAAAGCCCACGGCUCAACCGUGGAGGGUCAUUGGAAACUGGGAGACUUGAGUGCAGAAGAGGAAAGUGGAAUUCCAUGUGUAGCGGGUGAAAUGCGUAGAGAUAUGGAGGAACACCAGUGGGCGAAGGCGACUUUUCUGGUCUGUAACUGACACUCGAGGCGCGAAAGCGUGGGGAGCAAACAGGAUUAA
rnacentral:rRNA from 1 species